rnacentral:rRNA from 3 species
AAAUUGAAGAGUUUGAUCAUGGCUCAGAUUGAACGCUGGCGGCAGGCCUAACACAUGCAAGUCGAACGGUAACAGGAAGCAGCUUGCUGCUUUGCUGACGAGUGGCGGACGGGUGAGUAAUGUCUGGGAAACUGCCUGAUGGAGGGGGAUAACUACUGGAAACGGUGGCUAAUACCGCAUAACGUCGCAAGACCAAAGAGGGGGACCUUCGGGCCUCUUGCCAUCAGAUGUGCCCAGAUGGGAUUAGCUAGUUGGUGAGGUAACGGCUCACCAAGGCGACGAUCCCUAGCUGGUCUGAGAGGAUGACCAGCCACACUGGAACUGAGACACGGUCCAGACUCCUACGGGAGGCAGCAGUGGGGAAUAUUGCACAAUGGGCGCAAGCCUGAUGCAGCCA